AAAGCUGUUACUAAUCAACUUCCGCCCGGACCCUAGUAUAUCCUACUACUCCCCCCCAGCCCCCUUCCACAUUCACACUUGUCUGUCGAUAGUCCUUUCCCAGGUUUGAAAACCAGAUCAUGGCCAUAAAUCAAUCCUCCUAGCCAGAUGGUUCUUAUCAUUUAGGUUAUCUCCACCCCAAUUGCUUUUGGCAGGAUGGAAAUAGUUCAGCUAGUGUGAAUGCUGGGCGAUCACAUCCUGACAUGACUCCUCCCUCCGCGAAGAUGACCCUGUGGAGAGAGGCUCCUACUGUUGGUUUGCAUGACUGGGAACAAUGGAUUAAUGGUGAUGGUGCUGGACUUGCCGAAGAAAGAGGUUCUGGCACUGGGUGUAGGACUAUUAAUGUGAGUA